rnacentral:lncRNA from 10 species
AUGCAGAAAAAUCAUUUGACAAAAUUCUACACCCAUUGAUGAUAAAGAACUCUGACCAAACUAGAAAUAGAAGGAAAGUUCUUCAGCCAAAUAAAGAGCUACCACAGGAACAUACAAGGAAAGCUGAGAGAAUCCACAGACCCUCUGAAGGAACUGGAUCGCCACUGCAGGCUCCCUGAGAUGCUGAAAAACUCACCAUUCACAAUAGCAAAGACAUGGAGACAACCUAAAUGACCAUCAAUAGUAGACUGGAAUAAAGAGAAUGUAGUAUAUAUACACCACGGAAUACUAUGCAGCCAUUAAGAAGAACCAGAUUCAUGUCUGUCUCAGGCAGUGGUGAGACAAGAUGGUGGAUCCCCACACCAUUAUCCAUCAGACCCUGUGCUCCAUAGGGAAAGGGCAUAUGUGACUCAGAGGAAUGUGUAGGACAAUUGCCAAGCGCAAGACACAUGGAGGAUCCUCAUACAGUGGCUGGGUGAAGUGACUUUUGUUCUCUACUGCAAGUAGUGAUGUCUCAGUGAAGGUCUAUCAAUGAGAAGAAAGUGCCAACUGAAAACUUUUAGAAAAUACCCAGUUUACUCAAGGAAAAUAACAUGCAUUGAAGGUGAUUGCUCAAUAGAGAGAAGUUGAAACAGCAGACUAAUUGCCUGUUUGUGACACCCAUGUAAUCAACUUGGUGAAAGUUACAUUGAUACAGACACAAGCGAAAAAUUUGAUGGCCAAUAGGGGACAUGAUCCAUUUUCCAGUGCCUAUAGGUUGAGGUUGAUCUGAAAGAUAGGACUAUUUGUGAUCCAGAAUCAAAAGAGUCAAGAAAAGUCUGAGAAUUUCAUCCUUGGAGCAGAAAGUGAAAGUGUUCUGGAGCCAAAAGUAGUAACAAAGAUGGAGGGCAAGAGA